rnacentral:lncRNA from 1 species
GAUCACCUCCCAAGGAUUGCAUCUCAGACAUUCUUCAUCCCAGCAUCUCUUGGAGUCCCUUCUCCCACGGAUGAGAACCAGCAACCACUGCCAGCUGCUUCCCUCAGCAAGACAAGUUCAACGAAUUCUAGGAUCAUUCUUCAUCACCCACCAAACUCAGGAUUAACCUCCCAGCGUUCCGGAUCAACUCCAUCCAACGCGUCCUAAAUCCAAUGUCUCCCCUGUUCCACGUCCACAAACAGAAUCCCCUGUUUCAAAAUCCCAUCUUCCGGCUUAAUCUCCCAACGUCCCAGCCAUUGUUUCACGUCCAUGUUGAUCCGGUCUGCAUCUCAGCUGUGAGCCAUAUCCUCCCGAAUCAUCUGUGAUCGAGCAUCUUCUUCCCAGCUCAUAUCCCCUUCAUUACUGUUCAGCAUCCAUCAACAAAUCACACGCUCA